rnacentral:lncRNA from 1 species
GAUGUCACUCUUUGGAGCUCCUGGGGCAGGAUUCAUCAAAUGAAUAUGCCAUAGAGGCUGUCAAGGUUCAGGGGAAAUCAACUCAUCUGAAAUCGAAAGCCCAGGCUGCACUGAUUAUAUUGAAGAGGGCGCAGUGAGAGCUUCCAGCUCAUCAGAAGAAAAUCCUCCAUGCCUCCAACCGUGUUGGUAUCUCAGCUGCAGGGCUUACUGCAGAUGCCAGACUGUGAUGGAUUUCAUGCGCCAGGAGCGUUUGAUUCCAGAUGUGUGUUUGACACUCUUCCUCUGUGUCCUGUUGUAUCUCUAAUUGGGAGCAAGACAGAAACCAGCAUAACAGGCUGGCUGGAGACCUUAUGGUGCUUGUUGCUGGCUGUGAUGACAGGUGCCACCAUAUUCCCCAUAUUUUCCAAAUCUGUCCAUCUGGGAUUUUGACCGCAGAGCUAUGUCCACUGAAGCUCAUUCUCAAUCAGCUCCUACUUAUGUGGAGAGACUUGUGUAAGUUUAUGGAGUAUGAUUCGAGUGAGCUGCUUAAAGUGGUCUGCAUGCCUUAAGAGAGACAUUUCUGCAAGGCAGGACUUAACUACACUCAAUGUUUCUGCUGGAAUUGCUGGCAAAGGUAUGGGGCUUACCACCUGUGGUGAUGAUGCUGCGUCUCCAUUCCUGGAAAGACCUGGAGAAAGGUCACAGAGGAAAGCACGGCCCGCUGCACCUGCCGACGCACCUGCAGAGAAGG